rnacentral:rRNA from 1 species
GACGAACGCUGGCGGCGUGCUUAACACAUGCAAGUCGAACGGAAAGGCCCUGCUUGCAGGGUACUCGAGUGGCGAACGGGUGAGUAACACGUGGGUGAUCUGCCCUGCACUUCGGGAUAAGCCUGGGAAACUGGGUCUAAUACCGGAUAGGAGCCAUUUUUAGUGUGAUGGUUGGAAAGUUUUUUCGGUGUAGGAUGAGCUCGCGGCCUAUCAGCUUGUUGGUGGGGUAAUGGCCUACCAAGGCGGCGACGGGUAGCCGGCCUGAGAGGGUGGACGGCCACAUUGGGACUGAGAUACGGCCCAGACUCCUACGGGAGGCAGCAGUGGGGAAUAUUGCACAAUGGGCGCAAGCCUGAUGCAGCGACGCCGCGGGGGGGAGGACGGCCUUCGGGUUGGAAACUCCUUUCGCUAGGGACGAAGCUUUUUGUGACGGUACCUAGAGAAGAAGCACCGGCUAACUACGUG